rnacentral:rRNA from 1 species
UACGGGGGGAGCAAGCGUUGUUCGGAAUCAUUGGGCGUAAAGCGCGUGUAGGCGGUUCGGUAAGUCCGCUGUGAAAGUCGGGGGCUCAACCCUCGAAUGCCGGUGGAUACUGUCGGACUAGAGUACGGAAGAGGCGAGUGGAAUUCCUGGUGUAGCGGUGAAAUGCGCAGAUAUCAGGAGGAACACCAAUUGCGAAGGCAGCUCGCUGGGACGUUACUGACGCUGAGACGCGAAAGCGUGGGGAGCAAACAGG